rnacentral:rRNA from 1 species
UCACACUGGACGUCGGUUGUGACAAGCCUAACACAUGCAAGUCGAACGGCAGCACAGAGGAGCUUGCUCCUUGGGUGGCGAGUGGCGGACGGGUGAGGAAUACAUCGGGGUCUACUCUGUCGUGGGGGAUAACGUAGUGGAAACUUACGCUAAUACCGUCAUACGACCUACGUGGUAGAAAGCACGUGGGAUACUAUCGGACCUUGCGCGAUUUGAAUNGAGCCGAUAGUCGGAUUAGCUAAGUUUGUGCGAGGGUAAAGGCCCACCAAGGCGACUGAUCCGUAAGCUAGGUACUAGAGAGGAUAGAUCAUGCCACACUGGAACUGAGACACGGUCCAGACUACCUACGUGGAGUGCAGCAAGUAGGUGGAAUAUUUGGACAAUGGGCGCAAGCCUGAUCCAGCCAUACCGCGUGGGUAGAAGAACGNGCCUUCGGGUUGUAAAGCCCUUUUGUUGGGACAAGACAAUCCAGCUGGCUAGUAACCCAGGUUGGGAUGACGGUACCCAAAGAAUAAAGCACCUGGCUAACUUCGUGCCAGCAGCCGCAGGUAAUACGAAGGGUGCAAGCGUUACUCGGAAUUACUGGGCGUAAAGCGUAGCGU